AGGAAGCUGUAACAUUUUAAAUUGCAGCUCUCUAAGGAAACUUAGAGAUGUAAAGUGGGUGAAUUGUCGGGAAACCUAACCUUUGUUUUAAACAAAGCAAGGUAAUCCGCAGCCAAGCCUUUUAUUAUUUUUAAUAAAAGGAAGGUUCAGAGACUAGGUGAUUACACCCUAGAGCGCCCACCACCUAAAUUUUUUUAAAAUAUGGUGAUGAGAUAGUCCAUGCACUAUGGAAACAUAGAG
rnacentral:ncRNA from 1 species